rnacentral:rRNA from 1 species
AGAGUUUGAUCCUGGCUCAGAACGUACGCUGGCGGCACGCCUAACACAUGCAAGUCGAACGAAGUAGCAAUACUUAGUGGCGAACGGGUGAGUAUAAUGUGGGUAUCUGCCUUUUGGUUUGGAAUAACACGAGGAAACUUGUGCUAAUACCGGAUAAGCCCUUACGGGGAAAGUUUUAACGCCGAAAGAUGAGCCCGCACUUGAUUAGCUAGUUGGUAAGGUAAAAGCUUACCAAGGCUACGAUCAAUAGUUGAUCUGAGAGGAUGAUCAGCCACAUUGGGACUGAGACACGGCCCAAACUCCUACGGGAGGCAGCAGUGGGGAAUCUUGCACAAUGGGGGAAACCCUGAUGCAGCGAUGCCGCGUGAGUGAAGAAGGCCUUUGGGUUGUAAAGCUCUUUCGUCGGGGAAGAAAAUGACUGUACCCGAAUAAGAAGGUCCGGCUAACUUCGUGCCAGCAGCCGCGGUAAUACGAAGGGACCUAGCGUAGUUCGGAAUUACUGGGCUUAAAGAGUACGUAGGUGGUUAGAAAAGUUGGUGGUGAAAUCCCAAGGCUUAACCUUGGAACUGCCAUCAAAACUUUUUAACUAGAGUAUGAUAGAGGUAAGCGGAAUUUCUAGUGUAGAGGUGAAAUUCGUAGAUAUUAGAAAGAACACCAAUUGCGAAGGCAGCUUUCUGGAUCAUUACUGACACUGAGGUACGAAAGCAUGGGUAGCGAAGAGGAUUAGAUACCCUCGUAGUCCAUGCUGUAAACGAUGUGUGCUAGAUGUUGGGAAUUUAAUUCUCAGUGUCGCAGCGAAAGCGUUAAGCACACCGCCUGGGGAGUACGACCGCAAGGUUAAAACUCAAAUGAAUUGACGGGGACCCGCACAAGCAGUGGAGCAUGUGGUUUAAUUCGAAGAUACGCGCAGAACCUUACCAACACUUGACAUGUUCGUCGCGACUCUAAGAGAUUAGAGUCAUCGGUUCGGCCGGACGAAACACAGGUGCUGCAUGGCUGUCGUCAGCUCGUGUCGUGAGAUGUUGGGUUAAGUCCCGCAACGAGCGCAACCCUUACUUUUAGUUGCUACCAUUUAGUUGGGCACUCUAAAAGAACUGCCAGUGAUAAGCUGGAGGAAGGUGGGGAUGACGUCAAGUCCUCAUGGCCCUUACGUGUUGGGCUACACACGUGCUACAAUGGUACACACAAUAGGAUGCAAAGAGGCGACUCCUAGCCAAUCCAAAAAAUGUACCUCAGUUCGGAUUGUACUCUGCAACUCGAGUACAUGAAGCUGGAAUUGCUAGUAAUCGCGGAUCAGCGCGCCGCGGUGAAUACGUUCCCGGGUCUUGUACACACCGCCCGUCACACCAUGGAAGUUGGUUACACCUUAAGGCAAAAUGUUAACCUUCGGGAAACAUUUGACUACGGUACGAUCAGCGACUGGGGUGAAGUCGUAACAAGGUAACC